rnacentral:lncRNA from 1 species
GAUACGUCUCUGUGAAUCGAGUUUGUUUGAGAGUCUUGUUUGUUCAUUAUUGUUAUUGAUUGUUAAACCAGAAAUAGGAUAAUAUAGGAUUCAACGGUUGAUUGAAAUGACUGAUCUUAAGAACUGUUAUAUAUAUAUAUAUAUAUGUAUAUAUGUGAGUGCAUGUGUUGAGAUUGCAGAGUGCAGAGGUGUCUGCACUAGGCCACAUGAUUUUUGGGGUGCAGAGGUGUCUGCACUAGGCCACGGGAUUUGCGGGGUACAUAGACGUUUGUACUAGGCCGUCUGUUUGAGAGAUCGCGUGGCACGGAGAUAUCUGUACAAGGUCGUGUGUUUUGCUAGGUACAGUGACGUUUGUACUAGGCCACCUGUUUGUGGAGAUUGUGGGGGUACAGAGUGGACUACUGUACUUACGACGCUAGUCCACUAGAAAUAUAUUGAUUGUUCUGUGUGGUGUAAUAGACACAGUGAUUGUCUCAUGCUAGAGCUAGGCCUACAUAGUUGUAGUGCUAUGAACUGAGUCAGUGGUUUGCGGUUUAGCAUCCCAUACCUCACCGGGGGAUUCCUCUGUCGCUCACCCCUCCUUCUUUCCCCUUUCAGGUGAGACCGAUGAGCAGGAGUGAUUAUAUCAGACCGGUGAUUUUGGGCUUUUACUACUAUCGGGCUUUGGACUUUUAUCAAUUUUAUCGUUUUAUCGCUUUUGGGCCU